rnacentral:lncRNA from 1 species
ACAACACUAAUCCUGCGGCCCAUAUGUGAGCUAAGUGCAGGACACAUUGAGCAAACAAGUUUGAGCUUAUUUAGCAAUGCCAGCAACAAUCAGUAUAUAGGAACAGAUGAUUUCCCAAAGAUAGAACCAUAUAGUUGAUUGCACAACGUUUUCAUAGUCCUGUUGGUGAAAAUGCCAGCAACUUUUU